UACAGAGGAGCCAAGCGUUGUCCGGAUUGACUGGGCGUAAAGCGCACGCAGGCGGAUGCGCGCGUGGGGUGUGAAAUCUGGCCGCUUAACGGCCAGGCGCCAUCCCAUACGGCGCGUCUGGAGUGAUGCAGAGGUCGAUGGAAUUGCCGGUGUAGUGGUGAAAUGCGUAGAUAUCUGGAGGAACACCGGUGGCGAAGGCGGCAUCCUGGACCGACACUGACGCUGAGGAGCGAAAGCCAGGGGAGCAAACGGG
rnacentral:rRNA from 1 species